UUUCUCUGCAUCUGGAAUUCUUCCCUUCCUCCUUCUUACCGCAGUGGUGUACUGAGCACUUUCACGUAAGAGUAUUCAUCCACUCGAACAACCCCCUGGAGAAGUACUCCUGUCACUGCCACCUGCUAGAGUUUGCGGCUACCUCCCCAAGACGCAGUCCCAGGGUUAUUGUGACCUAUGAUGUUUAUUCAACUACUGUUGACGGGCUGCUGUGCACAGGAACGGAGUGCACAGGGAACCUGGUAGGCAAGACCCCUGCCAUCGUGCAGCUGUCAGGUUGACACAGACAUUAAGGCAGAAUGAAGAAACAAGACAGCAAAGAAUGUGACUAGCCCCAUGGAAAGGAAGCUGUAUCCUAUCCUGGGGACUCUGUCCAGAUGUUCCAGGUGGUGACCAACAGCAACAUGAUAGAGUGGCUGAUGCAGACUUCUCCACACAUGUGAGGAGCAAGCUUGGAAGUUCAAGGGGUUUGAUAUGAGAAAACAGAGACUUAAAGAAUCACCCAGGAUGGCACUACUGGGAUUUCAAACCGUCAAUAUGACUCACAAUUGGGUCUUUCAGGGAGAAGAAUGGCCAGGCCUGGUCACCUAUGAGUGAGUGAACACGGAGAGCCUCACCAGAACCACAAGAAAUGGCUCCCCCACAGAAAAGCGGUGUCCUAGUACCAGAGUAAGAGGAAAGGAAUGUAAAUCACACCCAUAUGUCCAACAGAUGUCUACCUACUGUUCUUGGCAAUGUGAAUACAGAGGUAAUAAAACACGGACACUACCCUUAAUGGGCUCAUUCUCUCCAAUUUUCUUUCUUUUUCCUCCUUGAUUCAUUUGACAUUUUAGUACAGUGCUUUACCUCAUUUGUAAGGUGCCACUCCAGAUUGGAGCCUUCUGAUUUCUGUUUAAAUAUCUUUGCCAUCUGGGGGUUUCUGUUUUGGAAUUACACUCAAGAAAAAUUCCUGAACAUUUUGGGACUCUCCCAUUCACUGUGAGAACAAAAACAUUUUAAAUUAAAAACAUUAUUUGCCUAAUGUUGUGAGGGGUUGUAAGUAAAAUGUAACUGGUAAAAACAGGCUCCUUUUAUUAAAGGAAGUAAUGCAUGAUUGAAGCAAUUCUGAGGAAAAUAAUUUCAAUGUCUCUGGCAUGUACACACAUGUCCUAUGCAUACCUUACAUAUGCACAUCAUUCAUGCUCACCGCACCCCUCCCGGGAACCUGUAGAGUCAAAGACUAUUUCAGUUAUUACUAAGACUUGAAUAAAGAGUGGGGGUGGGGGUGGGGGUAGAAGUAUAUAUGAAACUGCAAAUGCCAAGACCCACUAUCUAAUUUACCUGCCUCCUUCAUUUUUAA